GAAUGUUGUCUGGCUCGAGG
rnacentral:miRNA from 2 species